rnacentral:rRNA from 1 species
UACGAGAGGCCCAAACAUUAUUCGGAAUUACUGGGCUUAAAGAGUUCGUAGGCGGCAUGGUAAGUAGGGUAUGAAAUCCCUCGGCUCAACCGAGGAAUUGCGCUCUAAACUACCGUGCUAGAGGAAGCUAGAGGUGAGCGGAACUGAUGGUGGAGCGGUGAAAUGCGUUGAUAUCAUCAGGAACACCGGAGGCGAAGGCGGCUCACUGGGGCUUUUCUGACGCUGAGGAACGAAAGCCAGGGUAGCGAACGGG